UCUGCCCCUCCUCUGCUCAUGCUCUGUCUCUCUCUGUCUCAAAAAUCAAUAUAAACAUUAAAAAAAAAAUUGUAUUUACUCCUGACCAGGAAAGUAGGACCCUGCCAAAGGAAGCAAACUCUGAAUCUUGGAAGCCUCCUAAAGGUCCUUUCUAACUUGACGAUGUAAAUUCAGGGGAGUUGACCGAACAGGCAUUGCCCUGUUAGGCUCCAGCCAGGUAUUCACAGGCUCAAGGGGAAUGAUAACCACCACUGACAGGGUUAAACCCCAGUGGGACCAAAACUAUUCCCAUUAAAAUGGUGCUGUUCAUGGAUUCACUCACAGGGAUUGUUGCAUUUGCUCAUUCAAGCCACAGGUCAGUUAGGUUUUCCGCACAUCUGGGAAAUAAAUCUCCUAGCCUGAAAUAAGCAGUUAUUCUCAAUAUCUUGCAAAGAUGGGCGCGGCUGCUAAGAUCUUUUUGUGACCGGAGGCAGAUCUGAUUUGGAUAAUCAUGAGAAAGUGGGGGCACAAAUAUAAUGCAAUUUAUGUAGAUAUUUGUGUCUAAUUAGGUAAAUACAGUUUCAUGGGACAAAGGUUAAAAAAAUGGGCACUGGUUUUCUGGCCUUAAGAGUUGAACACAAUAAGAGACUCUUAAGCGGGGCGGGGGGUGGGGGGGUUGUCAAUUAAAGCUUGUGGUGACAUUGAGAAUAGAUGAGAAGGUCAUAGGGAGGGACUAGGAGGUCCCUAGCAUUAUAGAUAGAUUGAAAUCCUUGAUGACGAAUCCAGCAGUCGGAAAAGUUACUCCCUUAUCUGUGGCCUGGUAAGUACAGUUACUGGCCUUAUCUUUCCAGGCCAAUGACAGAAUAAAGGAAAAAAAAAAAAGAGAAGGAGAAAGAGUUGCAUGUUUCAAGUAUGAAGUCUUGAUCAGUGUCUUGGGUGGAAGCAAUCUACCUUGAUGUCCGCCACAUGGGAGGCCUCCAGUGUCUGCACGGGACCACAUGUCAGGCGGAGCCUUCGUUAGCGGUGACAUGUGUGUCUGAGGCUCAGUAUCUGCUAGUUUCAUGCCAGUGUCAGUGGUCAGGAGUACUUGGUCAGGUUCCUUCCAACAGGGUUCAAGAGCUGUCUUCCUGGGAUGACGUUUCCAGAAUAUCCAAUCACCAGGCUCCACACUGUGACCAUCAGGAUUCCAUGACCUGGGAUCCAGGAAAGCUUCUUUAACCUGUUGAUGAUAAGCCUACGCAUCAGUCAUUAAAGACACAGUAACUGGUUAUACUAGCCUGAGACAACAAGGGACAGCAAGCAGAAACAUGACUGUUUCAUGUGGGGUGAGUUUAUGUCUCCCAAAGUGGAUACUGUAAACAGUCAUCGAGGCCAGAGGCCAUACCUGAGAUGGGUAGUUUUAGCAAGUUUAGAGAUUUUUAAGUUUGAGGACCCCAUUAGUUCUCCCGACCUUGCCUGAUACUUGAGGGUGAUAAGGACAGUGAUAAUUCCAAAAAGCUCGUAAGGUUUUCAUCAAGGCCAUGUGAUUUCACCAGUGAUGUGGGGGCCUCGAUCACUGGAGAUUGUGGAAGGUAUACCCCAAGUGGGGAACAAAUCUUCUGACAACUUCUUUGCCGCUGUGAGGGCAUCAGGGGAAGGCUUCAGCCCAUCCGGAACACAUACAUGCACUAACAAGGACACAUUGAUAACCCACAGUAGGUGGCAUUUGAAUCUAGCCCAUAUACCCAAA